GCCCCAGUAGCUCAGGGGAUAGAGCGUCUGCCUCCGGAGCAGAAAGCCGUAGGUUCGAAUCCUAUCUGGGGCACCA
rnacentral:tRNA from 3 species